rnacentral:rRNA from 1 species
UACUCCUACGGGAGGCAGCAGUGGGGAAUAUUGGACAAUGGGCGCAAGCCUGAUCCAGCCAUGCCGCGUGAGUGAUGAAGGCCUUAGGGUUGUAAAGCUCUUUCACCGAUGAAGAUAAUGACGGUAGUCGGAGAAGAAGCCCCGGCUAACUUCGUGCCAGCAGCCGCGGUAAU